CACCCCUGGGCCACUUCACCCUUUUUUACUCCGUCCACCUUCCUCUGGCUAAAAUGUCUUAGCCUGAAUUAGUGGAAGGAGCUUUAUCCUUAUACAUAUACCUGUGGAAUUGCAGCAUAGCUAUUUCUUUAAGAGUCAAGCAAGGCCGAAGGCUGACGCAGCGCGCCCACCGUGAAAGGAAGGGUGACACCCGCUAGUCUAUCUUAGAUAAUGUCAGUUUCUAAAAUGCACCAUCUGCUGUUCAGUGCAUGCUGGGAAAGGCUCGUUCCAGACAGGUAAAAGAAAUAGGAACUCUUUACUUCUUUAACUUGUGUUUAGUGGUUGUUGCCAUCCCCUGUAUUUGUACACUGCUGUUUGUAGAGAACUCAGUCAGCCUUUUGUUUUGUUGUUUUCAGAAGUCAGAUUUAGUUAGGCCUAGUUUGGGUUUUUUAAUUUUGAUUAUUUGGCACAACUAUAUUGUCCCUACCUCCACCACAUUUGUGAAUCAGUUGUCCGUUAAUAAACAGUUAAUUCACGAAAAUCACUUUGACUCUGUUUAAUUUGGUUGUUGUUAAAGUUAUUGUCUCACUUUGUGGACGUAACAGUGUGUUAGUGAGUGAGUGAGAGAGAGAGAGAGAGAGAGACAUGGUAACUAUAUAUCACAAAUAGGCUUAUGGAUUAUUUGUGAUUUUUUUGAGUUCAAAGCCUAAUUUUAACUUGCAUUUAUUUCCAACAAUUGGCCACUAACCAAUAUUGUUUCACCAUUGUAUUUAGAAUUACAGCAGUUUAUUUGAGGGUGCAUUUAAGUCAUUUAGAAAAUUAAGAACUUUGAUUGCUUUAUAGACUGUGUUUAUUUGCACGCGUGGGGAAAUGCAGCUGUAGGGCACGCGGUGGAGCUGAAUCAGCUUUGACUGAGGAUUGCGGGGUUACUGGUCCAAAACCACAACUAAGUUUCUAAAGUUGUCACAACAAGACAAUGCACAGGACUGAGGAAAACAGCAUGCAAAUAUCUAUCAAAUAAAUAAAUUGAAUAAAAGUCAGGAUGGGAAAUAGAAAUAGGUUUCCCUCUUCCUCGGCAUCUCUCCUGGCUCCACUUAGGCCGUCCUGUUGUUCCUCUGCCACUCUGCUGCAGUGGCAUCCUGCAUCCACUCCACUGUGUGUCAGGUAAUUACAGCCACAGUCACUGCUGGAGGGUUAGCCUGAAACCUUUGAGCCGCGCCACCUUCUCCAAAUCCAUCUGCGGAGAUGGCCGGCAGAAGUUUUCGAAGUGACCCUGCCUUUGGUAUUUGUGAAGCAGCAGAGCAGCCCUUCGUCACCGGCAGUAACAUUUCUCUCACCUUAAAGUCUAGAUGUUGUAAUUGGCAAGAUAUGAUUCUAGAAACUUCUACGGUGUUACUGCUGAGGAGCUUUUUUUUAUUAAUACCUCUCAUUCUUCAUUCUUGUAAUGUAAGUUUUGAAAACAGCUGUCAAAGCUCUCAGAUAUGUCAGUGGAAUUGUUAAUAUGUAAUGUCAUUUGCACCUACCAAAUACUUCCGCUAUUUUUCAAACACCUAUAAGUCGCAUUUAAAUUACAACUUUUACUGUUCUUUUUUUAUAACUUUUUUGAACGCAAACAAUAUGAUAAUAGGAAUGAACAGAAACAAAGUAUGAAUAAAUAGAAAUAGAAGGAGGAGGAUUACAGCAACAAGCCACUCGGUGGCAAUUCAAUAUCGUGUGACGUUCAGCCUUGUUAUGGUCCAGUAGUUAUGGUUUAAGUUGCAUAGCAAAUUGGAGAAGAACAAGAUAAUCAUUCAAAGGUACAAUAAAACAGAGACGGAUUCAGGAAUUUCUUCAUUAUUUGAAUAUAUUUGAGCAGUAAAAUGAAAUAGUAAGGAAGGAAAUGUUUUCCUAUUUCAACUUAAAUUGCUGACAAAAUGAAUCAUUUUUUGUCCCUGCAGAACGAAGGUGCUAUAAUUGUCUGCGACUCUCAUGACAAGUUUAGAUUCAGGCCUCUAGAUCUUAAACCAAUACAUAGCUUAUUAAUAGAAUUUAUGUGCUGUAUACCGUCUUCUCAGGGACAGGCUGUCUAAUUAUUCCACCAGCUGAAUGAUAUUGGUGGACUUUAUUAAUGUUCCAGGGAUAACCAAUAAAUGCGCCACUGGGGAUUUCAUCAAAUGAAAUGGGAAUAUUUCACACUUUUAAUGAAGCACUCUCCACGUGCACCACAUAUACCCUUAUUCAAACAUGCAUAUGAUCCUUCAAAGACAUAUUAUUCCAAGUAUGAGUAAGUGAUGGUGGCUGUCUGGCCUUUAACAACCGAAGAGCUCCUCUGAACCGCUUUGGGUGCUUCCUCAGAAGAAAACAACAGCAUUGCAUACAGAUUUGCCUCAUGCUUUUUUAUCAUUAUCAUCAUUAAAUAGUUGGCUAGGUGGGAUUAAUGAGUAUCUCGGCGCAUUAUUCUUAAGGUUGUCUAAUCCUGUUGGAACUGAUAUAAAAAGUUUACAGUCCUUUGGCAUUUACAGCAAUGGAUCGGGACAUCAGAUCGCCAGCCUUGCAUUGUCUCACCUUUCAUCGGAACGUAAUGGAAAAUCAAACAUCAUUAUCAGUACAUAGAGCCAUUAAAGACAAAUGUGUGUGUUAUUGCUCACACUCUGUUUUCCUCAGUGUUUUAUGUCCUCCCUCAGGAGAUGUUAAGGCCUGUUGCAGAUCGACCAUAAAUCCCAAACUUAGUCGUCCUUUUUGUCGCAAAGGGAUGUUGCUGUCUGGCCGAAGAUGGAACGUGGAUGAAGGCUGGACAGAGACCUCUAUGACAGCCCCUCUGAGGACUGAAUGGACAGCGGCGUCUGAUGAAUGGCCAGCCUCCCUCUUAAUCACAAAGCACUCGCACCAAGUGAGACACAGCAACAAAGGCAUCUAUGAGGUUCUUAAAAUACCUUCGCUGACAAACUAACUUUUGGUGGUUUAUCGCUGUUUCUCUUUUGCAACUGGUCAUGUCAACAAUUUUUUUUCUUUUUUUUUAUUGUAUAUUUGUAUGUCAUUGUAUUUUAUAUUAAAUGCAAGAAAAGUUAGAUUGAUAGUGCCUUCCGCUAAAGUCUUCUUUUACACGGAUUCUAAUACUUUGUACUUUGUACUGUUCAAAUGAUAUAUAGGUAUUUCAUAGAUUACAUUGUAACAGUACAGACAUAUAUGGUGUACAUGUCUUUCUUUCUAAGGGACUUGUUAUUCUCUAUUUUCACGUUUCCCCUUUCUCUUUCACAUGCCCUGAUUCUCUUGAAUUGUAGAGAAAGAAGUCAAAUUUGUCCAAGGGGGCAUAAAAAAGUAUUUUGUCUUUGUUGUAAAGGGUUUUGGCUGAAGACGAUCCCAUGCGUCAGAGGACCAGGUGUGUAUUAUUUCACAGCUGAAAAACAUUCCCUGCUUAAGAUUUUUUCAAAAUAAAACGUGAUGUUUUAUCAUUCACUGGGAAGGAGUGAACCCAAGGAUGAUCAUUGAAUCAUUUCGAUCUCUUUACAACUGGGCAAGAUUGGUUUACAUAAAGGCCAGAAAGACUUACAGCAUUCUUCCCUACAAAACGGGAGUGUCUGAGUUUGGCCUACACACAUGACAUUUAACUGUAUGCUGAAAAUGUUUUAUUUCCUCUCCCAAGGUUGCAAUGUGUGUUCACAAAAAGCUUUUGUGUACUUGAUGUGAAAAUCAUAUUUCAUCCUGAGUCCCAUUUAGGAAUAGCUAAAUGUACUGUAGGUCCUAAUAGUCAGGGAAAAGGCUUGUGUCAGUGGAAAAAGGUGACCCUAAAUACAUCCUUCACUGUUUGCACAUUGAUGAGUGGCAAGCAAAAUUGUCCUUCAGAGCCUGUUAUUAUUUGAGCAAGCUAUUGCAAUGCACGGCGCACAGUGAGCCUGGAGCAUAGGUUGCAUUUUGCUGUACACUCCACUGCAAAAUGGGACUAGUCAAGCCCUAAUGUAACCAGCAAAAGCUGGAUAAAAAUCUAUACAAACUCAAUUAUGAAUCAAUUUGAGUUUGUGUCAGACAGUCUGGUGCCAACAGAGUGGAUUUUUUAUUAACUUAUGGUCUGGGAAGAAUGAAACACUUUUCAUUUGUGUACUUCAGUAUGUUGCUUCAUGAUUCAGAGGAAGGGUGUUCACACUUUGUUUUUGAGGGAUUUAUCUCUCAUGGUGGACCGGCUGGAGGCAAACAGCAUUUGUGUCCUGAUUAUGGAGUCAUGAUAGUUAAAUCCUUACGAUGUGAGAAGAUAGAGAACCCCUUUUGAAAAGCAGAAGGUAGCUCAACAGUUGAUUAAGUAAUUAAGAUUAAAUCCCUCCCACAUUGA